rnacentral:rRNA from 1 species
UACAGAGGGUGCAAGCGUUAAUCGGAUUUACUGGGCUUAAAGCGCGCGUAGGCGGCUACUUAAGUCACAUGUGAAAUCCCCGAGCUUAACUUGGGAAUUGCAUUCGAUACUGGUGAGCUAGAGUGUGGGAGAGGAUGGUAGAAUUCCAGGUGUAGCGGUGAAAUGCGUAGAGAUCUGGAGGAAUACCGAUGGCGAAGGCAGCCAGCUGGCGUAACACUGACGCUGAGGUGCGAAAGCAUGGGGAGCAAACAGG